UACGGGGGGGGCAAGCGUUGUUCGGAAUUACUGGGCGUAAAGGGCUCGUAGGCGGCCAACUAAGUCAGACGUGAAAGCCCCCGGCUUAACCGGGGAGGGUCGUUGGGGACGGCGGGGCUUGAGGGCGGGAGAGGUCGGUGGAAUUCCCGGUGUAGUGGUGAAAUGCGUAGAGAUCGGGAGGAACACCUGUGGCGAAGGCGGCCGACUGGGCCGACCCUGACGCUGAGGCGCGAAGGCGUGGGGAGCGAACGGG
rnacentral:rRNA from 1 species